UUAUGUGUUAACUGUAAGUCGCUUUAGAUAAAAGCGUCUGCUAAAUGGCCGAAU
rfam:Salmo salar isolate Sally breed double haploid chromosome ssa17, whole genome shotgun sequence.